rnacentral:rRNA from 1 species
GAUGAACGCUAGCGGGAGGCCUAAUACAUGCAAGUCGAGCGGUAGAGUGACUUCGGUUGCUUGAGAGCGGCGAACGGGUGAGUAACGCGUACACAAUCUACCUUUAAGAGGGGAAUAGCCCUGGGAAACUGGGAUUAAUGCCCCAUGGCAUCACGAAGUGGCAUCGCUUUGUGAUUAAAAGCUGAGGUGCUUAGAGAUGAGUGUGCGUCUGAUUAGCUAGUUGGUGCGGUAACGGCGCACCAAGGCGACGAUCAGUAGGGGCGUGAGAGCGUGGACCCCCACACGGGUACUGAGACACGGACCCGACUCCUACGGAGGCAGCAGUAAGGAAUAUUGGUCAAUGGAGAAACGUCUGAACCAGCCAUCCCGCGUGCGAGAAGGAAUAG